rnacentral:rRNA from 1 species
AUUGAACGCUGGCGGCAGGCCUAACACAUGCAAGUCGAACGAGUGGCGGACGGGGGAGUAAUGUCUGGGAAACUGCCUGAUGUAGGGGGAUAACUACUGGAAACGGUAGCUAAUACCGCAUACCAUCGGAUGUGCCCAGAUGGGAUUAGCUAGUAGGGGGGGGAAAGGCUCACCUAGGCGACGAUCCCUAGCUUGGCUGAGAGGAUGACCAGCAACACUGGAGCUGAGACACGGUCCAGAAUCCUACGGGAGGCAGCAGUGGGGAAUGUUGCACAAUGGGCGCAAGCCUGAUGCAGCCAUGCCGAGUGUAUGAAGAAGGCCUUCGGGUUGUAAAGUACUUUCAGCGGGGAGGCGUUACCCGCAGAAGAAGCACCGGCUAACUCCGUGCCAGCAGCCGCGGUAAUUC